AACGCUGGCGGAAUGCUUUAACAUGCAAGUCGAGCGGCAGCGCGGGGCAACCUGGCGGCGAGCGGCGAACGGGUGAGUAAUGCAUCGGAACAUGUCCAUUCGUGGGGGAUAGCCCGGCGAAAGCCGGAUUAAUACCGCAUACGCCCUGAGGGGGAAAGUGGGGGACCGCAAGGCCUCACGCGAAUGGGUUGGCCGAUGUCCGAUUAGCUAGUUGGUGAGGUAAAGGCUUACCAAGGCGAUGAUCGGUAGCUGGUCUGAGAGGAUGAUCAGCCACACUGGGACUGAGACACGGCCCAGACUCCUACGGGAGGCAGCAGUGGGGAAUUUUGGACAAUGGGGGCAACCCUGAUCCAGCCAUUCCGCGUGAGUGAAGAAGGCCUUCGGGUUGUAAAGCUCUUUUGUCCGGAACGAAACGGUUAGCGUGAAUAUCGCUGACUACUGACGGUACCGGAAGAAUAAGCACCGGCUAACUACGUGCCAGCAGCCGCGGUAAUACGUAGGGUGCGAGCGUUAAUCGGAAUUACUGGGCGUAAAGCGUGCGCAGGCGGUUUUGUAUGCCAAAUGUGAAAUCCCCGGGCUUAACCUGGGAAUGGCAUUUGGGACUGCAAGGCUUGA
rnacentral:rRNA from 1 species